CUUCGCGCGCCCGCACCCAAUCACCUGUGUCUCACCCCACUCCCACCCCAGCCGCCAAACGAACCCUAGCCCUCUUUCUCCUUCCCCUCGAUCCCGACGAGCCGCCGCACCCCUCCCUCGAUCCCCAGUUCCCCACGAUCCUCUCCUUGCCCGCAGCCACCGGCCUUGUCUCUCCACUCGCCUCCUCCUUUCCUCUACCAUGUCGUCGUCGAUCCCACCGCUGGCCUUCUCCUCUGCUUGCCUCCUCCGGUCCUCUUCCAUGUCACCGUUGAUCCAGAUCGGACCCUCUCCUUGCGCGCCCCGUGUUCCUCCUUCCAGCCGAUUGGGCACAGCUGCACCAACCCUAGCCCCCGAUGCAGCCAUCCACUCCUCCCUCCUCCUCUCCCCUCCCCCUCCCACAGCCACCGCACCCGUUGCUUGGCCCCCUGGCGACGCCCGGGUCGGGGCUGGGAAGAAGGUCCGGGCCUGCGAGGGAAAGCAGCGAGGGUUGGUGCAGCGGCAAAUGCGGGCGGGAUUUGCAUGGAGGGAGGCUCGUCAGCCGGAACAACAGGAGCAAGGAGGUCGUGCAGGCGCGAAUGCUGGCGGGGUCGGCCGUGGAAGAAGGCUCGCUGGACGGAGCAUCAACAGCAGGGAAGUCGAGGUGGUUCAGGUUUGCCUCUAUCUCCUCCCCACUCUAUCUCUGCCCUCUCUCUUAUUUUCCCCUUUGUCUCGUGGAUAAGGGCGUCAGUGCACCACGAGGAGUAGAUCGAGCGUGGACCAUAGCAGCACGAUCAAGGAGCUGCUGGUGGUUCUGGCAACAACGAGGAUGAUCAAGAAGGAUUGGGGAACACCCGCAAAAAAAGUACUUGGGAAGAAGGGCGGGACGAAGGCAUGGAGAUCGUUGUUUGGCGCCAACGUGUGUUUGGUGUUGAUUGCUGGCUGGCUGACUGCGGUGUGCUACCGGCGAUGAGAUCCAGGAGGAGGUGGCGGCGGACAGGGAGUCGAGGACCUUUUUGCUUGCAUUCUCGUGUCUUUUGACAAGGAGAAAAUUAUCAUUUGGAGGGGAAAAGACAGAUGAAAACAUGCAAGAUAGUAUAUGCAAUUAACAUACCCUUCAAUUCUUGAAUCAGAGUUCAGUGGUGAAGAACACUACAAUUUUUUGGUUGAUGGAUUGGUCUGAAUAUAUUGUAAGGGAUUUUGCAUGAAGUGGUUAUUCAAAGAAUGGAACCAAUUUUAUGUGAAAAAUACUAUGAUUAAAGCAUACACGAUUUUACUGAAUGGAUAUGGUAUAACCUCCAUGAUAUUUGAGUGGACUAGAAUCAAGACGCCCUGAGAAUUUUACCCUUCGAUGAACAAUGCAAGAUUUUGCCUAUUCUCUAAGAUGGAUGAUGAUGAGCGGUUCAACCGAAAAUUCAGAGCUGGGCUUUACACAAUUCAGUGGGUCCUGUGUGGUGGGGCUAGUGGUGUGGCCAGUGAAGUAUGGGUACAGUCUGCUGGAGUCGGUCCUACGUUUUGUGUCACUGGUUGUACAACCAAUAUAAGUGGGGUGUUGUCUGGUUUCUCCGACAUCACCACGUUUUUUAAGGACUUUGCUGGUGCUCCUUCAGGUUCGGCAAUCACCCUUUUUUUUUUUGAUGUCUGAUGCACAAGAACAACAUUUGAGUGGAAAAACAUGGUAUGA